rnacentral:rRNA from 1 species
GAGGGCAGCAGUGGGGAAUUUUGGACAAUGGGCGAAAGCCUGAUCCAGCAAUGCCGCGUGAGUGAAGAAGGCCUUCGGGUUGUAAAGCUCUUUCAGUUGAGAAGAAAAGGCUGUGACUAAUAAUCACAGCUCAUGACGGUAUCGACAGAAGAAGCACCGGCUAACUACGUGCCAGCAGCCGCGGUAAUACGUAGGGUGCAAGCGUUAAUCGGAAUUACUGGGCGUAAAGGGUGCGCAGGCGGUUCUGUAAGUCAGAUGUGAAAUCCCCGGGCUUAACCUGGGAACUGCGUUUGAAACUACAGAGCUAGAGUGUGGCAGAGGGGGGUGGAAUUCCAUGUGUAGCAGUGAAAUGCGUAGAGAUAUGGAAGAACAUCGAUGGCGAAGGCAGCCCCCUGGGUUAACACUGACGCUCAGGCACGAAAGCGUGGGGAGCAAACAGGAUUAGAUACCCUGGUAGUCCACGCCCUAAACUAUGUCAACUAGUUGUCGGGCCUUACUAGGCUUGGUAACGUAGCUAACGCGUGAAGUUGACCGCCUGGGGAGUACGGUCGCAAGAUUAAAACUCAAAUGAAUUGACGGGGGCAAGGGCGAAUUCUGCAGAUAUCCAUCACACUGGCGGCCGCUCGAGC